rnacentral:rRNA from 1 species
CGCUGGUCUGUACUGACGCUGAGCUCGAAAGUAUGGGUAGCAAACAGGAUUAGAUACCUGGUAGUCCAUACCGUAAACGAUGAAUGCUAAGUGUUGGAGGGUUCCGCCCUUCAGUGCUGCAGCUAACGCAUUAAGCAUUCCGCUGGGGAGUACGGCCACAAGGCUGAAACUCAAAGGAAUUGACGGGGGCCCGCACAAGCGGUGGAGCAUGUGGUUUAAUUCGAAGCUACGCGAAGAACCUUACCAGGUCUUGACAUACUAUGCAAAUCUAAGAGAUUAGACGUUCCCUUCGGGGACAUGGAUACAGGUGGUGCAUGGUUGUCGUCAGCUCGUGUCGUGAGAUGUUGGGUUAAGUCCCGCAACGAGCGCAACCCUUAUUAUCAGUUGCCAGCAUUAAGUUGGGCACUCUGGUGAGACUGCCGGUGACAAACCGGAGGAAGGUGGGGAUGACGUCAAAUCAUCAUGCCCCUUAUGACCUGGGCUACACACGUGCUACAAUGGAUGGUACAACGAGUUGCGAACUCGCGAGAGUAAGCUAAUCUCUUAAAGCCAUUCUCAGUUCGGAUUGUAGGCUGCAACUCGCCUACAUGAAGUCGGAAUCGCUAGUAAUCGCGGAUCAGCAUGCCGCGGUGAAUACGUUCCCGGGCCUUGUACACACCGCCCGUCACACCAUGAGAGUUUGUAACACCCAAAGUCGGUGGGGUAACCUUUAGGAACCAGCCGCCUAAGGUGGGACAGAUGAUUAGGGUGAAGUCGUAACAAGGUAACCA